GACGAACGCUGGCGGCGUGCUUAACACAUGCAAGUCGAACGGAAAGGCCCUUCGGGGUACUCGAGUGGCGAACGGGUGAGUAACACGUGGGUGAUCUGCCCUGCACUUCGGGAUAAGCUUGGGAAACUGGGUCUAAUACCGGAUAUACCUCUUUAGUUGCAUGACUUUGGGGGGAAAGCUUUUGCGGUGUGGGAUGGGCCCGCGGCCUAUCAGCUUGUUGGUGGGGUGAUGGCCUACCAAGGCGACGACGGGUAGCCGGCCUGAGAGGGUGACCGGCCACACUGGGACUGAGAUACGGCCCAGACUCCUACGGGAGGCAGCAGUGGGGAAUAUUGCACAAUGGGCGCAAGCCUGAUGCAGCGACGCCGCGUGAGGGAUGACGGCCUUCGGGUUGUAAACCUCUUUCAGUAGGGACGAAGCGCAAGUGACGGUACCUAUAGAAGAAGGACCGGCCAACUACGUGCCAGCAGCCGCGGUAAUACGUAGGGUCCGAGCGUUGUCCGGAAUUACUGGGCGUAAAGAGCUCGUAGGUGGUUUGUCGCGUUGUUCGUGAAAACUCACAGCUCAACUGUGGGCGUGCGGGCGAUACGGGCAGACUUGAGUACUGCAGGGGAGACUGGAAUUCCUGGUGUAGCGGUGGAAUGCGCAGAUAUCAGGAGGAACACCGGUGGCGAAGGCGGGUCUCUGGGCAGUAACUGACGCUGAGGAGCGAAAGCGUGGGGAGCGAACAGGAUUAGAUACCCUGGUAGUCCACGCCGUAAACGGUGGGUACUAGGUGUGGGUUUCCUUCCUUGGGAUCCGUGCCGUAGCUAACGCAUUAAGUACCCCGCCUGGGGAGUACGGCCGCAAGGCUAAAACUCAAAGAAAUUGACGGGGGCCCGCACAAGCGGCGGAGCAUGUGGAUUAAUUCGAUGCAACGCGAAGAACCUUACCUGGGUUUGACAUGCACAGGACGUGCCUAGAGAUAGGUAUUCCCUUGUGGUCUGUGUGCAGGUGGUGCAUGGCUGUCGUCAGCUCGUGUCGUGAGAUGUUGGGUUAAGUCCCGCAACGAGCGCAACCCUUGUCUCAUGUUGCCAGCACGUAAUGGUGGGGACUCGUGAGAGACUGCCGGGGUCAACUCGGAGGAAGGUGGGGAUGACGUCAAGUCAUCAUGCCCCUUAUGUCCAGGGCUUCACACAUGCUACAAUGGCCGGUACAAAGGGCUGCGAUGCCGUGAGGUGGAGCGAAUCCUUGUUAAAGCCGGUCUCAGUUCGGAUCGGGGUCUGCAACUCGACCCCGUGAAGUCGGAGUCGCUAGUAAUCGCAGAUCAGCAACGCUGCGGUGAAUACGUUCCCGGGCCUUGUACACACCGGCCGA
rnacentral:rRNA from 1 species